rnacentral:misc_RNA from 1 species
AAGUCGUAACAAGGUUUCCGUAGGUGAACCUGCGGAAGGAUCAUUAUUAAUUCUUCUAGUGAAGCGGCUGCGCGUUUUUUUUUUAAAAAACCGCGCGGCUGUUUUUCUUGUGAACUGGGGCUGUUAGUUUUAGUGUUUUUUUUUAACGCUUUUUCUAGCGGCCCGUCGUUAAUGCUCUUGUGUUAAUUUUUUUUUGUUUUUGCUUUUUUAAGCCUAGCCGCUUAAGAAAAUAAUUACAAGACAACUUUCAGCAAUGGAUCUCUUGGCUCUU